rnacentral:rRNA from 1 species
GAUGAACGCUAGCUACAGGCUUAACACAUGCAAGUCGAGGGGUAACGAGAGGAAAGCUUGCUUUCCUUGUCGACGACCGGCGCACGGGUGAGUAACGCGUAUCCAACCUGCCCCCAACUAGGGAAUAACCUUGCGAGAGUAAGACUAAUACCCUAUAAUUUCCUCAGAUGCCAUCUGACGAGGAAUAAAGAUUUAUCGGUUGUGGAUGGGGAUGCGUCUGAUUAGCUUGUUGGCGGGGUAACGGCCCACCAAGGCAACGAUCAGUAGGGGUUCUGGGAGGAAGGUCCCCCACAUUGGAACUGAGACACGGUCCAAACUCCUACGGGAGGCAGCAGUGAGGAAUAUUGGUCAAUGGGCGGAAGCCUGAACCAGCCAAGUAGCGUGCAGGAUGACGGCCCUAUGGGUUGUAAACUGCUUUUAUACAGGAAUAAAGUUAGCCACGUGUGGUUAUUUGUAGGUACUGUAUGAAUAAGGACCGGCUAAUUCCGUGCCAGCAGCCGCCGUAA